rnacentral:rRNA from 1 species
GGGCCCGCACAAGCGGUGGAGUAUGUGGUUUAAUUCGAUGCAACGCGAAGAACCUUACCAGGGUUUGACAUCCUGCGAAUCUCUUGGAAACAGGAGAGUGCCUUCGGGAACGCAGUGACAGGUGGUGCAUGGCUGUCGUCAGCUCGUGUCGUGAGAUGUUGGGUUAAGUCCCGCAACGAGCGCAACCCACGUCUUUAGUUGCCAGCGGAUAAUGCCGGGGACUCUAGAGAAACUGCCCGUGCAAACGGUGAGGAAGGUGGGGAUGACGUCAAAUCAUCACGGCCCUUACGUCCUGGGCUACACACGUGCUACAAUGGCAGUGACAAUGAGAUGCUAAACGGCGACGUUAAGCUAAACUCAAAAACCUGCCUCAGUUCGGAUUGCACUCUGCAACUCGAGUGCAUGAAGCUGGAAUCGCUAGUAAUCG